rnacentral:lncRNA from 1 species
UCCACGUUAACAAUUAUAUUCUCCCAAUCAAAAUAUCUGGUUAAUACACGUAGGAUACCAGAGGAGUAUGUUUUGAUUUAUUGGGCUUCGUCUCUAUCGGUAUAAUUAAAAAAAAAAACCAAACCGGAGAUGGAUAGCACGAUUGGGUUAAUACACGUAGGAUCUCAUAUGAUUUUGUAUGGGCUUCGUAAACUGCAGGUAAACAAAUUUUUUCCUUUUUCCUCCACCCCCUUCGUGUGAAUGAGAUUUUGUAUGGGC